rnacentral:misc_RNA from 1 species
GAUGAAGAACGCAGCGAAAUGCGAUAAGUAAUGUGAAUUGCAGAAUUCAGUGAAUCAUCGAAUCUUUGAACGCACAUUGCGCCCCCUGGUAUUCCGGGGGGCAUGCCUGUUCGAGCGUCAUUUCACCACUCAAGCCUCGCUUGGUAUUGGGCAACGCGGUCCGCCGCGUGCCUCAAAUCGACCGGCUGGGUCUUCUGUCCCCUAAGCGUUGUGGAAACUAUUCGCUAAAGGGUGUUCGGGAGGCUACGCCGUAAAAUAACCCCAUUUCUAAGGUUGACCUCGGAUCAGGUAGGGAUACCCGCUGAACUUAAGCAUAUCAAUAAGCGGAGGA